rnacentral:rRNA from 1 species
CCUACGGGAGGCAGCAGCAGGGAAUCUUGGGCAAUGGGCGAAAGCCUGAUCCAGCGACGCCGCGUGGAGGAAGAAGUCCUUCGGGAUGUAAACUUCUGAACUAGCCGAAUAAAAGGCCUGUGGACACACAGGAGAAGAAAGUAGCAG